CCUACGGGGGGCAGCAGUAGGGAAUAUUGGUCAAUGGGCGCAAGCCUGAACCAGCCAUGCCGCGUGCAGGAUGAAGGCCCUCAGGGUCGUAAACUGCUUUUGUACGGGAACAAAAAGCUCCUGCGGGAGCCAUUGAGGGUACCGUAAGAAUAAGCACCGGCUAACUCCGUGCCAGCAGCCGCGGUAAUACGGAGGGUGCAAGCGUUAUCCGGAUUUACUGGGUUUAAAGGGUGCGUAGGCGGCUCUUUAAGUCGGUGGUGAAAGCCUGGCGCUUAACGCCAGAAUUGCCAUUGAUACUGGAGAGCUUGAGUCAAGAAGAGGUAAGCAGAAUUCAUGGUGUAGCGGUGAAAUGCAUAGAUACCAUGAGGAAUUCCAAUAGCGAAGGCAGCUUACUGGUCUUUGACUGACGCUGAGGCACGAAAGCGUGGGGAGCAAACAGGAUUAGAUACCCGAGUAGUC
rnacentral:rRNA from 1 species